GCUACACAUGCAAGUCGAACGGUAACAGGAAGCAGCUUGCUGCUUUGCUGACGAGUGGCGGACGGGUGAGUAAUGUCUGGGAAACUGCCUGAUGGAGGGGGAUAACUACUGGAAACGGUAGCUAAUACCGCAUAACGUCGCAAGACCAAAGAGGGGGACCUUCGGGCCUCUUGCCAUCAGAUGUGCCCAGAUGGGAUUAGCUAGUAGGUGGGGUAACGGCUCACCUAGGCGACGAUCCCUAGCUGGUCUGAGAGGAUGACCAGCCACACUGGAACUGAGACACGGUCCAGACUCCUACGGGAGGCAGCAGUGGGGAAUAUUGCACAAUGGGCGCAAGCCUGAUGCAGCCAUGCCGCGUGUAUGAAGAAGGCCUUCGGGUUGUAAAGUACUUUCAGCGGGGAGGAAGGCGAUGCGGUUAAUAACCGCGUCGAUUGACGUUACCCGCAGAAGAAGCACCGGCUAACUCCGUGCCAGCAGCCGCGGUAAUACGGAGGGUGCAAGCGUUAAUCGGAAUUACUGGGCGUAAAGCGCACGCAGGCGGUCUGUCAAGUCGGAUGUGAAAUCCCCGGGCUCAACCUGGGAACUGCAUCCGAAACUGGCAGGCUUGAGUCUCGUAGAGGGGGGUAGAAUUCCAGGUGUAGCGGUGAAAUGCGUAGAGAUCUGGAGGAAUACCGGUGGCGAAGGCGGCCCCCUGGACGAAGACUGACGCUCAGGUGCG
rnacentral:rRNA from 2 species